GAUGAACGCUGGCGGCGUGCCUAAUACAUGCAAGUCGAGCGAACAGACGAGGAGCUUGCUCCUCUGACGUUAGCGGCGGACGGGUGAGUAACACGUGGAUAACCUACCUAUAAGACUGGGAUAACUUAGGGAAACCGGAGCUAAUACCGGAUAAUAUAUUGAACCGCAUGGUUCAAUAGUGAAAGACGGUUUUGCUGUCACGUAUAGAUGGAUCCGCGCCGCAUUAGCUAGUUGGUAAGGUAACGGCUUACCAAGGCAACGAUGCGUAGCCGACCUGAGAGGGUGAUCGGCCACACUGGAACUGAGACACGGUCCAGACUCCUACGGGAGGCAGCAGUAGGGAAUCUUCCGCAAUGGGCGAAAGCCUGACGGAGCAACGCCGCGUGAGUGAUGAAGGUCUUCGGGUCGUAAAACUCUGUUAUUAGGGAAGAACAAAUGUGUAAGUAACUAUGCACGUCUUGACGGUACCGAAUCAGAAAGCCACGGCUAACUACGUG
rnacentral:rRNA from 1 species